AGUUGCAAAAAAAUUGUCACAAAAUGGUUGUACAAAUAUCAUUUCUCUGUGAAGAAAGGUCAACAUGUGAAUCUAUUUGCUAAAAUUCCUGGCCUUUUGGUCCCGUAUUCAAUCAAAACAUUAAUCUCUACUUUUAAACUUGUCACCACUCACCAAUCGAUCAUCUUCCUCCAAGCAUAUAUAAGACUUUAUACUUUUUUUUUUUUUUUUUUUACAACAACCAAAUCAACUCAUUUCAUUAAUAACAAGAUCAUGAAUACAAAAAGGUAGGAAAUCAAAAAAUUGGAGACUAGCACAAAAAAUUGCCGCCCUUGCAAGGGAAUGAGCAACCAUAUUCGCUUGUCGCCGAAUAAACUUAACCAUAAAAUUUAAAUUAAGAGAUAGCAAUCGAUAAUUUUCGGUAACAAUGGAUCUAAAUUCAGAAAUGUCUUCUUUCUUUUUAAGAAUAGCAUCUGAUAGAAUCUUUGAAUCAGUCUCAAAAAUGAUAUACUGAAAUCCUGAAC
rnacentral:lncRNA from 1 species